rnacentral:rRNA from 1 species
AUGAACGCUGGCGGCGUGCUUAACACAUGCAAGUCGAGCGAAGCACUUACCAUUGACUCUUCGGAAGAUUUGGUAAAUGACUGAGCGGCGGACGGGUGAGUAACGCGUGGGUAACCUGCCUCAUACAGGGGAAUAACAGUUAGAAAUGGCUGCUAAUGCCGCAUAAGCGCACAGUACCGCAUGGUACGGUGUGAAAAACCGAGGUGGUAUGAGAUGGACCCGCGUCUGAUUAGGUAGUUGGUGGGGUAACGGCCUACCAAGCCGACGAUCAGUAGCCGGCCUGAGAGGGUGAACGGCCACAUUGGGACUGAGACACGGCCCAGACUCCUACGGGAGGCAGCAGUGGGGAAUAUUGCACAAUGGGGGAAACCCUGAUGCAGCGACGCCGCGUGAAGGAAGAAGUAUCUCGGUAUGUAAACU